CAACCUGAACUCAGUCGUGAUUACCCGCUGAACUUAAGCAUAUCAUUUAGCGGAGGAAAAGAAACUAAAAAGGGUUCCCUUAGUAACGGCGAGUGAAACGGGAAGAGCCCAGCGCCGAAUCGUUCAGUCUUUGGCUGCUACGACAUGUGGCGUAUAGGUGUAGUCUUCCAGCAGUAUCGUAUGUCCGAAGUCCUUACGAUUGAGGCCAUAAACCAGAGAGGGUGCGAGCCCCGUUCUGGAUAGCGAUGCUGUUGGUUCGACUGCUCCUUGGAGUCGGGUUGCUUGAAAGUGCAGCCUAAAGUGGGUGAUAAACUUCAUCUAAGGCUAAAUAUCGACUCGAUUGCGAUAGCGAACAAGUACCGUGAGGGAAAGUUGCAAAGGACUUUGAAGAGAGAGUUCAAGAGAACGUGAAAUCGCUGGAGUGGAACCGGAGACAGUUGAUGUUGCUUGGAGACAAGUUUGGUGACUGGUCGCUUAGUUGUGAUCGUUGCCGGUACGUCGUUUCCUAUGCUACGCCGACGGCGUUGGUCGCUCGUUCUAGCCCGAUAGUGUUGCCCAGCUCGCAAGAGUCGGUGUCUUGUUGUCGGUAGUUGGUUCGUGGCGGCUAGCGUUUAGUUACGCUAGUGUGUGUGACGUCGGUGUGAAAGUCGACGACGUUUCCGACCCGUCUUGAAACACGGAUUGCGGAGUGCUUGUCUACUGCGAGUCAAAGGGUGUCAAAACCUUGCGGCGUAAUGAAAGUAAAGGUCAGUCUCGAAUUGGCCGACGUGGGAUCUGUGCUCUUCGGAGUGCUGCGCACCACGGCCCUAUGCGUGUCACUUGUGACUGUGUAGAGGUUGAGCAGUUGGCAAACGACCCGAAAGAUGGUGAACUAUGCCUGAGCAGGAUGAAGCCAGAGGAAACUCUGGUGGAAGUCCGUAUCGGUUCUGACGUGCAAAUCGAUCGAUAGACUUGGGUAUAGGGGCGAAAGACUAAUCGAACCAUCUAGUAGCUGGUUCCUUCCGAAGUUCCCUCAGGAUAGCUGGAUCUCUGGCAGUUAUAUUCGGUAAAGCUAAUGAUUAGAGGCCUUGGGGGCGUAAUGCCCUCAACCUAUUCUCAAACUUUCAAUGGAUAUGAAGUUGCAGUUUCUUUAGUGAACUGUCAACGUGAAUGCGAGGUCCAAGUGGGCCAUU
rnacentral:ncRNA from 1 species